rnacentral:misc_RNA from 1 species
AACGGUCUAUACCUGCGGUACCUGCGGAGGGAUCAUUACCGAGUUUACAACUCCCAAACCCAAUGUGAACGUUACCAAACUGUUGCCUCGGCGGGAUCUCUGCCCCGGGCGCGUCGCAGCCCCGGACCAAGGCGGCCCGCCGGAGGACCAACCCAAAACUCUUGUUGUAUACCCCCUCGCGGGUUUUUUUUUACUAUCUGAGCCUUCUCGGCGCCCCCUCGUGGGCGUUUCGAAAAUGAA